CAUAGCUCAGUGGUAGAGGAUUUGCCUUGCAUGCAGAAGGUCUCAGGUUCAAUCCCCAGCAGGGAGA